UGAAGACUGCACUGGCUGGUGUCUGGAUUCUAGAGUUUAUGAUCUGCUCAGAAGCCAGAGAGGUGAUGACUAGAAGGUAUAGAACAAAAUUGGUAAACAUUAAAGCAUAUAUCAAGCUACUGUAUACCUAUCAAAUAGGAUAUGUCGACAUGUCGUUGACCUGGAGAGGAUUUCUUACCUCUGGGACAUGACAUACAACUCAAUAUUGACCAAUGGGAAAUGAAGAAAAGAUAUGUCGGUGGCUCUGGAAAAAAAAAAAUUACUCUC
rnacentral:lncRNA from 1 species